CGAUAGAAGGAGUGAAAAACUCCUUCGCCGAAAGUCUAAGGGUUCCUGAUCAACGUUAAUCGGAUCAGGGUUAGUCUGGUCCUUAGGUGAACCCGAAAGGGGUAGCUGAUGGAAAGCUGGUUAAUAUUCCAGCACCAGCAUUAGUUUCGAUGGGGCGACGCAGUAUUGAAAGUUCCUCGCACUUACGGAAUAGUGCGAUUAACCACGUAACUAUUUUCUUUGCAGGCAAAUCCGCAGAGAAAGGUGAAAUGGGAAAGUACACUGAGGCUUCGGCCAAGGUGAGUGAACCUAAAAGCUGCCGAGAAAAACCUCUAAGGUUAGGCUAAUGCUGCCAGUACCGCAAACCGACACAGGUAGGCGAGAUGAGAAUUCUAAGACGCGCGGGAUAACUCUCGUUAAGGAACUCGGCAAAAUGGCCCCGUAACUUCGGGAGAAGGGGCACCCCGGUAGGGUGAAGCGGCUAGCCCGUGGAGCUCGAGGGGGUCGCAGAGAGCGGGCCCAGGCGACUGUUUACCAAAAACACCGGUCCCUGCCAACACGUAGAGUGUGGACGUAUAGGGGCUGAGACCUGCCCAGUGCCGGAAGGUUAAAGGGAGGGCUGCGAGGUCUGAACUGAAGCCCCGGUAAACGGCGGCCGUAACUAUGACGGUCCUAAGGUAGCGAAGUUCCUUGUCGGGUAAGUUCCGACCUGCACGAAUGGCGUAACGACUUCCCCGCUGUCUCCAACGUAGACUCAGUGAAAUUGAAUUCCCCGUGAAGAUGCGGGGUUCCUGCGGUCAGACGGAAAGACCCCGUGAACCUUUACUGCAGGUUGGCACUGGCCCGACGUCGACCCUGUGUAGCAUAGCUGGGAGGCCCUGAAGCCUCGGCGCCAGCCGAGGUGGAGCCACCGGUGAAAUACCAGCCUGGGUCGUCGUCGUGCCUCACCGCCGCCCAAACGGCGGGACACUGCUCAUCGGGCAGUUUGACUGGGGCGGGCUCCUCCCAAAGCGUAACGGAGGAGCGCAAUGGUACCCUCGGCCCGGUCGGCAAUCGGGCAACGCGAGCGCAAAAGUACAAGGGUGCCUGACUGCGAGACCCAUCAGUCGAGCAGGGACGAAAGUCGGCUUUAGUGAUCCGGCGGUGCUGGAUGGAAAGGCCGUCGCUCAACAGAUAAAAGGUACUCCGGGGAUAACAGGCUGAUCUCCCCCGAGCGUCCCUAGCGGCGGGGAGGUUUGGCACCUCGAUGUCGGCUCAUCGCAUCCUGGGGCUGGAGAAGGUCCCAAGGGUUUGGCUGUUCGCCAAUGAAAGCGGUACGCGAGCUGGGUUCAGACCGUCGUGAGACAGGUCGGUCCCUAUCUGCCGU
rnacentral:rRNA from 1 species